UCUCAGUUUGGAUUCCUUCUUCAGCUCUUGGAUUGAGCAAGAAACAAACCCAAGCCAGAAACCUUCUAGCUCGGAACUAGACGCUGCUGCUGCUUAAACUCUCUGCCACAUCAUUGACUCUGGACCUACGGUAUCUCACCUCACGGCUCUGUUACAAUCUCCUCAAGAAACUCUGAGACCAGUCCCGGACCAGUACCAGAACCAGAUCCAGUAUUAUAUCAUUGUACAUCUUUCAAUAAACCUUGUUAAACUUUC